rnacentral:rRNA from 1 species
AUUGAACGCUGGCGGCAGGCCUAACACAUGCAAGUCGAACGAGUGGCGGACGGGUGCGUAAUGUCUGGGAAACUGCCUGAUGGGGGGGGAUAACUACUGGAAACGGUAGCUAAUACCGCAUACCAUCGGAUGUGCCAAGAUGGGAUUAGCUAGUAGGUGGGGUAACGGCUCACCUAGGCGACUAUCCCUAGCUGGUCUGAGAGGAUGACCAGCCACACUGGAACGGAGACACGGUCCAGACGCCGACGGGAUGCAGCAGUGGGGAAUAUUGCACAAUGGGCGCAAGCCGGAUGCAGCCAUGCCGCGUGUAUGAAGAAGGCCUUCGGGUUGUAAAGUACUGUCAGCGGGGAGGCGUUACCCGCAGAAGAAGCACCGGCUAACUCCGUGCCAGCAGCCGCGGUAAUUC